CGCACCUUGCGCCCUCUGGUAUUCCAUAGGGCAUGCCUGUUUGAGUGUCAUGAAGACUCACCCUAAUCAGUUUCUUGACUGGCUAGUGGUGGAUUGGGCGUCUGCCAUCACUGGCUCGCCUUAAAAGCAUGAGUGGUCUCUGGAUGUAAUACGUUUCGUCCUCAACGGCUGCUGACAACAACCCAUAUUCUUUAAUCUGACCUCAAAUCAGGUAGGGCUACCCGCUGAACUUAA
rnacentral:misc_RNA from 1 species